AGCUGCAGUUAAAAGCUCGUAGUUGGAUUUCGGGUGGGUUCCAGCGGUCCGCCUAUGGUGAGUACUGCUGCGGCCUUCCUUACUGCCGGGGACCUGCUUCUGGGCUUCAUUGUCCGGGACACGGAUUCGGCAUGGAUACUUUGAGUAAAUUGGAGUGUUCAAAGCAGGCUUACGCUCUGAACAUUUUAGCAUGGAAUAACAUGAUAGGACUCUGGCCUAUUCUGUUGGCCUGUAGGAGUGGAGUAAUGAUUAAGAGGGACAGUCGGGGGCAUUCGUAUUUCAUUGUCAGAGGUGAAAUUCUUGGAUUUAUGAAAGACGAACUACUGCGAAAGCAUUUGCCAAGGAUGUUUUCAUUAAUCAAGAACGAAAGUUGGGGGCUCGAAGACGAUUAGAUACCGUCGUAGUCUCAACCAUAAACGAUGCCGACUAGGGAUUGGAGGACGUUUUUGCAUGACUCCCUCAGCACCUUGAGAGAAAUCAAAGUUUUUGGGUUCCGGGGGGAGUAUGGUCAACAA
rnacentral:rRNA from 1 species